UACUAGUUGCUGAUCUGAUUUAUUAAGACACAUACUAGUGGGUGUAUUUAUAACAGUUUAGGGUUCUGUUUUCACUAUAUUAAAGAAUACCUUUUUAUUUCCAGCAAAUUUAGUAAACAAAAUUCAUAAGUAGUGUUUUCAAUAUAGAAAGGUAAGAAUACACUAUCUUUUUGCUCAAUUAGUUGUCGAUUGUCUAGGGGAAAUAAAUUGCAACUUUGUUUGCAACACUAGCUUUACUUGUCUUCGCAGUCUCUCUCAUGCGAGAGGUUGACCAUUCCUCUGAAUGCUAAUCUCAGAAGCCC
rnacentral:lncRNA from 1 species